CUUAGCAUGAAGUCGAGACAA
rnacentral:rRNA from 1 species